rnacentral:rRNA from 1 species
AGCUCCAAUAGCGUAUAUUAAAGUUGCUGCAGUUAAAAAGCUCGUAGUUGGAUUUGUGGGAUGGCCGUCCGGCGGGGGGCCUUUCAUGGUCCCGUUUGUCCUGGUUUUCGGCCUUCCCUUUCUCGGGUCUAGCGUAUUGGCUGGCAUUAGGUUGUCGGCCACUUCGCGCCCGUCGUUUACUGUGAAAAAAUUAGAGUGUUCAAAGCAGGCUUAGGCCGUUGGAUACAUUAGCAUGGAAUAAUGGAAUAGGACUACGGUCCCUAUUUCGUUGGUUUGACGGACCGAAGUAAUGAUUAAGAGGGACAAUUGGGGGCAUCCGUAUUUCGUAGUCAGAGGUGAAAUUCUUGGACCUACGAAAGACGAACAACUGCGAAAGCAUUUGCCAAGAGUGUUUUCAUUA